ensembl:lncRNA LINC00973 long intergenic non-protein coding RNA 973
GGUCACUCCCAAGCCUGGAAGAGAAUGAGAAGGAGGCAGUAGAAUAUCAUUAUAAUCAUACUACUUGUCCCAGGGGAUCCAUGUAUUCUACUGAAGAGUGGGAGUAGUUCAAAAUGGAGAAAUGAGGAAACCAUGACAAAGAGUCUGGAUAAUCAUUAGAACUGAUUAAAGUCAGGCUGCCCUAGAUUGAAAAGUGUGUGCCUCUGCUCACAGAUGAAGAAAUAAGAAUGGAAGCAUAAUCAUUUGUCCGAGGUCACAGAGGGAGAUGAUUACACAGCUGGAAUAAACUCUCCUCCUUCAAUACCUGACUACUUGCACCAUCCAGCAGAUAUCCUCUACUACCAAGUCUCAACAGAUGGUUCAGCUGGUCUUUAAUGAACAAAAGGCAUUUGUGUAAUGGACUCUUAUUGCUCAAGAAGAAUUUCUUCCUUCCUGAAACAUGAGGAGAAACUGACAAAAACUGUCUCCUUGACCAAACCCUAGUCAGUUGCCUAUAAGCCCUGUAGGCUGUGACCUUAGUGUCUAUCCUUAUCAGACACGCAUUACACAACCAUAGCAACAGUCUUGCUAAGUUGGUUUAACCAGAACCCCUACCCUUGAUAUCUGAUUUAAUUUAUAAUUCCCCUGAGUCCCCGAGGUGACAUCCAUUCAUCCUGGCCAGCUUUCAAUAAGAAUCCUAUUGGAUUAUUUAGCUAGAAAUCACCCCUUACACUUAAUGCUUCCUUUUAGUAAUUUUGCAUCCACUAACCCCGACCUUGCUCGUUGGCUAUAAAUCCACAAGUUGUCCGUGUUGUGUUUGGAAUUGAUUACAAUUCUAUAUUGAGGUCUCUUUUCCCAUAUUGCAAUAGUUCCUGAUUAAAAUCUGCUUUUGCCCAUUGAUAUGGUUUGGUUGUGUACCCACUCAAAUCUCAUCUUGAAUUGUAGCUCCCAUGAUUCCCAUAAUUGAAUCAUGGCAGCAGUUUACCCCAUACUGUUCUUGUGGUAGUGAAUAAGUCUCAUGAGAUCUGAUGGUUUUAUAAGGGGUUUCCACUUUCACUUGAUUCUGACUCUCUUUUGUUUGCCGCUAUGUAAGACAUGCCUUUCACCUUCUGCCAUAAUUGUGAAGCCUCCCCAGCCACAUGGAACUGUGAGUCCGUUAAACCUCAUUUUCUUUAUAUAUAAAUUACCCAGUCUCAGGUAUGUCUUUAUCAGCAGCAUGAAAAUGGACUAAUACACUCCUUUAACUGUGUAGCUCUGGUGUUCUUUGAUGAGCUAGAAACUGUAAAUCUCUGGAAGUCAAAUCUUCAUUUGAACUGGUUGUUAUAUAUUAUUGAUUCUCUCAAUUAUUUAGUUAAAUAAAAGUCUUGACAUGUUAAA